GAGAUUCAUGCAGACUUUCCAUUUCUGACCCAGGCUUACCAACAUUGAUCCCUUAGUACUUUUUCAGGCAGUGUUACCAGUCCAUACUGUUUUCUUACCCUAUUUUUCCUUUAUGCCUUUCUCAGUUUUCCUACAUCCACUGAAUUUAUCUCCACUCAUAAGACUUCCCUUGUGGCUCAGCUAAAAAAGAACCCACCUACCAAUUCAGGAGAUGUAAGAGAUUCAGGUUAGAUCCCUGGGUCAGGAAGAUCCCCAGGAGAAGGAAAUGGCAAUCGACUCCAGUAUUCUUGCCUGGGAAAUUCCAUGAACAGAGGAGCCUGACAGGCUUUAGUCCAUGGGAUUGCAAAGAGUCUGAGACAACUGAGCGUGUGCACGCGCGUGCACCCAUCCACACAUAAACUCAGUGUCUCCAAGAAGCUCUUUGUGAACUCUUAUCCUCUUUGUGCCUGAUUAGAUGGUCUUGUUAUCAGGAUUUAAAAAGAAAAUCAUCCUUUAUUCCAUGCUCCAUUGUAAUGAACAGUUUAUGUGUGUCUGUCAUUCUAGGUUGUGAAUCCUCUGAAAAUAGAGCUCACACACAAAAUGUGUCUAUUGAAUGGAAUGGACGAUGAGUGAAAGUGGAUAAUUGCUGGUAAUGUAGAGAAUGGACUGGAGAGGAAGACAGCCUGAGGAAAUGGCGCCUGGUGAAGUUUGCAGAUUUCCAGCCACUGUGAGGAUGGUAAACGACAUUCAACUCAUGCUGAGUGGCUGCCUGGAGUCUUGUGCUGAGGGUUGUGAAGCAGGUUCCAGGGAGUGCAAUGAACUCUGAACACUGGCUUUCACUGGUGCGCACGGGCCCUUCAUAAUUGAUGUUCCUCUGCUGGAUGGCAUCACGGACUCGAUGGACAUGAGUCUGAGUGAACUCCCGGAGAUGGUGAUGGACAGGGAGGCCUGGCGUGCUGCGAUUCAUGGGGUCGCAAAGAGUCGGACACGACUGAGCGACUGAACUGAACUGCUUCUCUGAAUUUGAUUUUCCUCUUCAAAGGGACUAUAAGGUUUGCUUGUGAGAUUCUUACUUAGUAUAUUCUUACUAUUGCUUUUAUAUAUUUGGAAAAUACCAGUUAAAAUAAACAGGCUGAAGAUAUGAUAGAUUUCCAGUAAGACAGAGGAAAAAAUAAUUGCAAUUUAAGAGUAGCCUAUUGAAGAAAAUAUUUAUAUAGAUAUAUCCAGAGAGAUUGAUUACAUUUUAAUUGAUUAUCCUCAUUUAAAAAAUGGAGAUUAAAAUACCAGUCUUGGAAGGUUAUUCAGAGAAUUAAAUGUCUAAACAAUGUAGGCAAUGUUUAGUUCCUGGAAGGUAGAAAGCAUUCAUUAAUUAUUAGUGAUCAUGAUAAUUAGAGAGUGAUGAUGAUGAUGAUGUAAAGAAGUACCAGGAGAGUUCUGAAAUAAGAGAAGGAUGAUUUGACGUGAUACAUUUAGGGCUUUGUUAAAGUUUUCCUGAAUAAACAGUGUCAUGUUCUGGUAUCCCUGCAUAGAAUGGAUGUCCACGACAAACAUCCUGCCCCUAGAUAAUACAUAUUUUAACAUCUAAUUAUUUAGAUGUACUACAUAAUUAGAAAGCAGGAAAAAUAGAUCCAUAAGUGUGUAAAAAAUAUAAGGGAAAUUAUCCAUCUGAGAUGCAGCGCGUAUAACACACAUACAGUUGAAGCAGCGCAAAGUAUGAUGUAAAUCAUUUUACUAAGUCAGAUUAAAGGUGCUAUUACUCAUGGUUAUGUAAUACUAUCUGUAAUUUCUGUGUUAAACUUGACAUUAUAAAUCCUUUAAUCUGCGUAUUUAAAAGCUGUUCUAUGGCUCAUUUUUCAAACUGAUUCCCGUUAACACAUUUACUGCUAAUGAACCACUAACGUGUUCUCUCUUUCUUAGAUAAACGCUGUUGACCAACAUUAUUAUUUGCUCCUCAUAUAAUUAUUUUUUUGGCUUUUUAAUUUAAUUGCUUCAAUAAAAAAUACACCAAUAAUGCAUUUUUAAUUACACUUCCCAGGUGACCUAUGUAAAAAGAGGUUUUAUAAUGAAGCCACAAUAAUUAGCCUGUCACAGUCCAGUUUGGGGCUAUUGUCUAGUUGUCCUUUCCAUGGCUUGUUGUGGCAUGACUAGAAUUCUAAAGACCUUGUAUAUUAUCUCCCAUAAUACUUAGGAAGGUAUUAAAAAUGUGUGCAAUACUGGCAGAAGCAGGCUUUCUAAUUAUUGUCAGCUAUUUCUAGUGUGACGUGGUAAAUUCCCUUGAGAACAUCAACAACAGCCCACUCCAGGGUUUGUAAUAGGCCCUAGAGCCUAAGUAGUUGUAGACAGAGCAGUUUCCCUCCGGAGAGAUAAUUGGUUUACAGAGCAGCUCAACAUCUGAACCAAAUCCAUUUUUUUUUCCUAUUGUAAUUUCACUGUUUACUCUAAUAUACAUAAACUAUUUUGUUAUAAUAAAUAACAUAUGACUCAUUCUUUAAGAGCUGAGUAAAUUCCCAUGUUCUGCCUCACCUGGAAUACUAAUGACAAUUAUGUCUGCCCAUUUCUCAUGCAUGAAAUAUUAAAUAUUUGGUUUGUUAAACACACAUUCUUACUGUAAAUAAUGUGUUCUGGCAACUUAUUAAAUAUGAUUAUCCUUUAGUUUUUUGGGUUUUUUUUAAUGGAUGAAAUCUGCCUUUAACGUAAGGAGAAAUGCAGACUAUUUCCCAGAAAUGUAAAGGAUUGUUGUCCUUAUUAGCACAGAGCAAUCGAUUACUGAGAAAUAUUUGUUAAUGUUUGUAUUCUACUAUUAACAGUAAUAUAGUGAUACUUCAUUUUGCAAACAGAGUAUAUCAGAUUCUCCCAGGUAUGCAGAUACCUUGCUUCAUAGCAAUAAAUAAACGUAUUUUAGCACACUGAAGUUUCAGCUAGACUUGGUGUUAAUGUCUCUGGUCUUUAACAGAUACACUGUUGUUGCUGUGUAUUAUAAGCAAAUCCUAUUAUAAAUGCUUUUCCUUUU
rnacentral:lncRNA from 1 species